rnacentral:rRNA from 1 species
UCAUAGCAGGUACAGAAUUGAGUUCUUGUACAACUUGCACUCAGGUUUUUCUUCUUCUUUUUUUCUUUUUUUAUUUUUCGUUUUUUCUCUUAUCCUUUAGGAUAAAGAAAAAAAUAAAACGAAAACGAAAACGAGAGAAAACGGGAAAAAUAAAAAAGUGCUUUUUGUUUACAUUUGGGGGUCGUGAAGAUCUUACUCGCAAGUAAUUGUGCUCGGAAGGGUUAUGAUGACUAUAUAAUAAUCAGACAUAGUAUGCUAAGGUAGUAUGUCUAAAGGGAAACAGCCCAGAACAAGAGUUAAUAAGGUUCCAAAAUUAUUGUUAAGUGAAAAUAAGGAAGUUUCAAUCAAAAAUGCCCAGGAAAUAGACUUAGAUGCGGCCAUUUUUUAAAGACCUCGUAACAGAGCACUGGUUCAGUAAAUUAUUUAGAUAAUUUAUAUUGAUAAAAGCACCGAAAAUUUAACGGAUCUAAACAAUAUACCGAGACCUUGUCCAUAUUUAUAUAUAUAUCUAAGUUGUAUAUUGUAUUUAUGGGGUAGCGGAACAUUGGGCAAAUCUCAGAUUUUUUCUUUUUAAGACUUAAUAUAAGAUAACCCAAGUGAUAAUGCUGACAUGAGUAACGAUAAAGGGAAUUAUUCCCUCGCCUAAAACUUAUGGUAUUUACUUAAAGUAACGGCCUCUAAGUUUAUGAACCUAAAGGACUAAACGAUGAGAAAACCUACCACUUUUUUUCUUUUUUCUUAUUUCCAUAUUUUUUUCUCUGUGUCCCAUUCGCGUCUUUACGCGGGGCCAUACAAAGCAGACAAGUGGAGUCCAUAUUCCGGGGGGCGUGGGAUAUAUUAGGAACUUGGGAGAGGAUCUCUUCCUUCCUAGAUAAGGGGCGCUUAAAUGGUAAAGGGGGAGUGUUAAAACUCUAACCCGUAACACUAAGGGUAUCGUUAUCUAUAAUAUAGAAGGAUCUUUAACCCUAUUCUUUAUCUUGAUCCAAAUCGUAAGUCUUUGUGAGACUUUGGCUUCGUAGUAGAGUGGGCUAGUGUCGAAAUAAGAAAAACUAAAUAAAAAAACAACCUAUGGUUCUAGACUUAUAUAACAAUGGGUUUAGUUAUAGUGCUAGUGCUGAAGUGAACAGGGUUCUGGAAAAUUAAAGUGGUGCAUCAUGGAUAAUGGGGAGGACGCUAUCUCCCGCCUACUAUGGUGUAAAAACACCGUACCUAGAAACUACCCCCAGUAAGUUAGUAGGAAUCGAAGCCUUG